rnacentral:lncRNA from 1 species
AGGGCUGGAAUCUGCAUCCCUGGGGUUAUGGAUCUAUACACAGAGCGCUUUGGCCUCUCUGAUUUUAGGGAGAAAAUAGAAAACCGCUUUCCUAGGGCUUCUGUGCUCACCAGCGUUCCCGAGGCUCUGAAGAGCUUUCAGUCGCGGAGCUGAACGAUCCAGGUAGGAUCUGAAGGACACGUUGUAAGGACACCGUCCAACGCCGUCCAUGUCUCUGUGAUGUACGGUGGUUGGUCGUGGCUGUUGCCGAGCCAUGUGGGAAAACAGUGACCGGCUCCUUGGAGGGGUUUUGCAGGCGCCGUGCGCACGUCCCCGCUGCCCGAGGCCCUGGCCUCUCCUCGAGUCCCGUCAUCUGAGAUCAGAUUGAGGCCAGAGGACAGAGUGUGGGUUCUUGCCGCGAGCGAGAAGGAACUGCCUUUUUGUCCUUUUUGUCGGAAUGAAGAAGAAAGUGGAACCAUUCACGUCUCUGAUGUGGGCAGGAGCCGGUGACCCGGGUGCCGUGGGCUGAAGCCCUUUGCCUCUCAGUGCUCCCCCCACCCAUGCAGCCCCUGCCCCCCGCAUUUGCACCCGGAACCCUGAUUCAAGGCCAGCGGGACCACGGGCUCCUGGCGGCAGCCAGCGGUCACGGCUGGCAGUGUUCACUCCACCGCCACGUCCACCAUUGAAAGGGCAUCUGUCGACCAAGAGGAAGAAGUGAUGUUGCUGAUACACUAGGUCCCGUGCGAGCAGGCGCCCCGGUCAGAGCUCCCUUUGUUUUCCCGUUUUCCCCCAAAGCUGCGUCGGAUGAUACAGGUUCGGGUGAAAGGGAAAAAUUACCGCUCAAGUAGAAAAUGACUCCUUAGCAAAAGUUUGGAAUUUUCUUGGCAUGUGAAUGAAGUCCUACGUCUAACUCAUUUGGGAUUUGGGCCAGGUUAUCAUCGUAAAAAAAAAUCAAAAAUUAAACUGUCGACUUGGUUCAUUCCACUUUCUUUCUUUAGUAAACAUGUGGAUGUCAGAAAAGGCAGAGAAUAGCUUUAAGGUAAUUUGUUGGAAGCACUGGUAUUUUUCGUGAUAAACGCACCUGCAGAUUUUCUUUGCUGUGAACAGUUUUAUGUAGUGAAACUUCAUUUUGGUUUUCUGGAGUGAUGCUGCUUCGUGCUCAUAAUUAGCCCCAAACAGACAGACUUUCUGAGUCCUUAUGCUCUUUGAGGGAAUACCUGCUCGGAGACAUGUAAGCAAUGAGCGCGAAACAAUGCAAAGUAAUCUGCUGUGACCGACGUAGAGGCCCCCUGGCCUCUACGGCAGGUGUGCGUCUGUCUAACCAGCCCGCCCGCGGCCGGCCGGCCGGGCUGUGUCGCUUGGCGCCUGAGAGCCAGUCUGCUGGGCGGGCCUCUGGCUGGCUUCUCACAUUUUGGAGGAAGGUAAAUCAGAGUCUUCUUGGCAGGCAAUGGUAUUCCUACAUUUCCUUCGCAAUAUGCAGAGAGAAAAGGAUUGUUAAGUCAAAUCCCUUGGGAACUGAGUUCCCUUUGUCAUUCUUUCCUUCCCGAGUGUCCCUUGUGCUCUGGCACAGAAUUGCUCAUUAAUCCCCAUGGAAUGGCCAAUUUUCCAAUGCAGCCACUCAAGUGUACGAGAACUGUAAAAAUUUUCUAAAGACCCUGGCUGCCAUUAAUUGCCUGCUGUGGCUUUUACGAGGCCGCGCCUCCCCGCCGAGGACACCGGGUCCUGCUGGUCAUUAGCCCCAGUCUGUCUGAUUUCUUGUCACUUCAGGAACAAUGCCUCUCGGGCCGGUGAGGCCGAGGCAGAAUUUUCAGGCCCAGAGUGACGCUGACCUGGCUACUCAGGACGGCAGUGAGGGCGUCGGGCUGGCCGGGCUGGGGGAAUGAAGGUGGUUUGGGGACAGGGGUAGAUUUCCCUGUGUUGGCCCUUUGAGUGCUGGAGAGGAGAGGCAGCUGGGAAGCCAUGGAGGGAGGGACAAGGGCUUGGCUGAUCCGAGGGACAGGGGCACUUGGAGUGGCCUUGGGUACACGGGGACACUCCCCUGCCCCUUGGCCGUGAUUUGAGUGCAGUCUCACGAAAGGGGGCAGCUCAGAGGGACGAUGAGGAAGUAGCCUGUCCGGGGAACGGGGUUGAGCCCCAGUGGCAGGCCCUUGAUCAGCCCAACAGUCACGACCUGAGACGUUCCCUUCGCACCUGCUUCUUGGAAAAGUGAAACGUUUCUGAGCCCAGCACUUUGGCUCGAGGGGACUGGAUCACAGGGUGCCGCCUCAGAAAGGUCCCCCCAGCCUGCAGCCAGAAACUGGAGGGACGCCUUCAGCUCCGUCUAGAACCCUGGGCCCGUCAUUCUUGGCUUCUGGAGGCGUAAAGAAGGCAGUAACACCCACCGCCCGGGGAUGCUGUGGGGCUGAUAGCGUGGCCCCAGGAGCGUGCUGUCCAACUGGAAAGGCGUGAGCCGUGUAAGGACUGCAGCCCCGGCCCGGCUGUGGCUCAGGCUUGAGCAGGCGGUGUCGGGAGAAGAUUCCAGCAAGCCUGCUUCUCUCCUCUUAAAUGGGGCACUUAGUGAAGUACAACACGCGUAGCUGAAAAAGCAGCAACGCCUUGCCCCGCUUGGGAGCGUCCCUCAUGCUCCUGGCUGAUGGGCUUGGGCUGCCCUGGCCAGUCAGCAACUGUGGGCUUUGUUUACUGAGCACUUGUUCGUACCUGGAAGUGCUCCGCUGCGGUUCACCCCUCCCCGCGCCCUCACGUCCGCUAUUGUUCCGUCGCUGUUUCAGUUGAACCGGGGAUCAGUGUUUGCGUCUUCAAAGCGAGUUUUUGUCGGACCCGGACGUGCACCAGGCUGACUUCCCGUUUUGUGACAAUCUCGAGUUAGGCACCGUGGUCCUCACGCCGGGCCUUUCAAGUGAACACCCUUGUCUGUUCCGGGCGCGUCCUCGUGUCCUUUGCCACAGUGCGUGAGGCUGCAAGUGUUGUUCUCUGCGGAACCAAGUAGCGACCACGGUUACACUCUCUCUGGUACGGAUUUUUGCUGUCCCCUGAUUUAACAAUCUCACCAUUGCUCCCUUGUGAAACUUUCUAAACAAGAUCCCGCCCUUCUCUCCAGAGGAGCCAGCACGGCUCCCCCGGCCUCUGCUCCGCUGUCUCCCGGAGCCCUGGGUCUGUGGUGGGGCUUCCUGCCGGCCUGGGACCCCUCCUCCCUGCCCUUCCCGACGGGACCUUGUUCCCGAGCUCUGCCUUGGUUUAUUUCCGUGUCUUUCUGGAUCACACACUCUGGGGGAUUCCAGAGAAACAGUCCGACUUCUUCCACGUCUCAAAAUACUGUGAUUGGCACACACCCUGGGUUGGGAGCUGGGUGGGUAGAGGAUUCGUUUGUAGUUUUUAAUGACGCUCUUGUCUUUAAAAAGCAUAAGCUCGUUUUGCGUUUUUAAUCCAGAAUUGCCGUGAAGAAACCCAUCUCAUUCUGGUUUUCAUUCUCUUGGAUGCGACAAAAAUGAGAUGCGAAACGGGGUUCCCCAUUGUCUCUGAAAUUCUUAAGAUUUUUCUUUACUUUUGAUGUUCUGAGAAUUAAUUCCUUAUCAAUGAGUUAAUGUCACUAUGGACUUUCCAGUCCUCGUGCUGGGCACUCAGCUGGACCAUUCUAGCUCAUGAUUUUUAUUUUUUCAAUAUGCGAGAUUUUCUUGAACUCACUUUUCCAUGAUAACUUCCACUCAGCUCUCCGUCACCUUUUUCAAAAUCUCCUGGCUCUGUAUUUCAUCUCUUCACUUGAUUGCUUCCGCCUCUAAUGUGUUCUCAGGUAGCGCCACCAUUUUUUGGUCGUACUUUCGGAGAGAUUUCUUCCACGUCAUCUUUAAAUCAUUUAUUCAAAUUUCAAAUGGUACUAUCAUCUUCCAGUUACUAAGACUUUUUUUUUCUUUCUGUUCUCCAGUGUUCCUGGCCGUGUUUUCUGUGUGACAUAUUGAGCUGUAACGCUGAGGAUUUAGGAUGUUUUUGAGGUUUGCUUCUGUUCUCUACACUGGGUCUCCUUAACCCUUUUCAUUUUUUCUGUCUUUUGUGUUGAGACUUUUCUUAACAUCUGCUAUGCCAAGAACUCCUCUACCACCUCUCUGUCCAUCAUCAAUGCAUCUGUCAUGUGUCGUGUACCUUUGUGUCUAUGUCUGUCUGUCUAUAUACCUAUUAUCUCUCUACCUCUCUAUCUCUCUCUCUCUAUCUAUCUAUCUCUCUAUCUCUCUAUCAUCUAGGAUAGCUGUCCACCCGUCCGCCCACCUGCGGAUGUCCUGGGAGCUGUGUGUGUGCUUGGGGUGGGGUGGGCGUGCGCCGGUCAUCCCUUGAUGAAAGGCUUAAUGGUCAGAGGCUGGUAAUUUCCUUAGGACCCUGCUCCACCCCAGUAGGUGGGGAUUUCUACCCCCGAGCCUACUGCCUGUCUCCAGAGGGAACUGGGUGAUGAUGACCCAGUGGCAGGGGGGACGUGGGGAGGCCCGGGCGCCUAGCUCCUCUGUGAGUGCACUGCCAGGUCUCCAGUGCCAGCCCUGCACAUGGCACCCCUGCCUUGUACAUACACCCACUCGUGCCCUGCGUCUCCCAUGCAGAUUCUGUAGAAAGCAAGGACCUGGGCCCCUGGCCAACAGUCGGCAUCAAACUGCCACCCUGGGAUAAGGUGGCGGGUCUGGGUUUCCAGCCGAGCCCCGGGUUGUCACUGGGUGUGCGGCGUGAUGUCCCUUGUGAGCCUCUCCAGGCAUCUGCAGGGGGCGCUGGGCCCCCACUGGUGUUCUCUGCAGGUGCUUCGUGGCCCCCUCCCGGCCCGGCCCCCUCUUCCUGCUGCCUGCCUGCCAGACGUCAGCUGAAAUUGCUUGUCUGCCGCCGUCCCCUUUCCCAGCUGCCUCUAAGGAUUUUCGCCUCUUUAUUCCUUUCACUUUUCGCAAGUGAGGGCGCGGUGUUGCGGGGGAGGGAUAUAAGUUUAUGUUCUCAGCCCUGUAAGUUUAACAGAAGUCCCCUAAUAAAAAACUUUUUGCAGAGAGGUUGUUGAAUGGGGCGGGGCGGGGGGUCCUUUGAAAGCGCUCACUGGAAUCCGAGGGCAGAGAAACUUCAGGUGUGAGGUUUGGAGACGGAAGCUUUUCUCUCUGGCUGAAAAGCGAGUCCCGUCCGAAUUGGAUACACACGCACUGGCAUCAGCCCGCAGGUUCAGGCCAGGAGAAGCCAGCUCGCCCAGAACCUGAAAGCCGGAACCCAGAGCCCACACGACGGACUCUGUGCCCCUCUGCCGUCCCGAAUCUCCCUGCUGGUGGUGAAGGCGGCUCCCGUCACGGUGGGUCCUGAGUGGGCGUGAGAAGCGCUGAGGAGUCGUGUGGGCUUGGAUUUUAAAAGGUGGGUCUUGGAGUUUCCUGGUGGUGCAGUAGGUUAAGGAUCGGGUGUUGUCACUGCGGUGGCUCUGGUUACAGCUGUGAUGUGGCUUCAGUCCCUGGCCCAGGAGCUUCCACGGGCCUCGGGCGUGGCCAAAAAGUCAAUGAAAAUAAAGAGGUGGAUUCUAGAAGAAUGAGUCAGAGUGCGCCCAAUCGCGGCGGAGCCGUGGCCAUAGUUGGUGGGGCUGCUGGUGGGACAGGGAGGUAUGGGUUUUUUUUUUUUUUAAUUUUUUAAAUAAAUUGGUUAGUAUUUUUGUUACAAAACUCAUAGGACCCCAAUGCAGAAAUAUACAAAGGAUAGAAGAGAAGAAAGCCUCGCCUUAUGCUGCUUGUCCUAACACCCCGUGGGCAUCACGCACGGUCUCCCAGAAGUGUCCCCUGCCAGGCGUUCCUGUGCUGUUCCCUGGGCAGGGUGGACGUUCUGCCCCCACCGCCUGCCUCCAGGACAGCCCCUGUGUCUGCUUGGGUAGCGGAGACGCCUCCUGAGCGAGGCCAGGGCACUUCCUUCUUCUCUCACGUAGCGCUGGUGGAGGCCACAGCAGUGACCAUGCGGGAUCCUCACUCACCAGGCCACCGGCGAACUCCGCUUCCGCCGUCGUAUUGAGCACUUGAGCUGCAAGGCUUGGCAGGUGCUGUGAAUGAGGUGUGCGAGGCAGGACGAGAGGGAUUCUUAGGGAAACGGUUUGGAGAAAAGGCACCUCCUGGAUACGAGGAUACAGGGGCGUAGAGCUCCCUGCCCUCAGGGGGGCAGGUGGGGGCAGCCGGGAGGCGAUGCCGCCUGACCAGUCAGCCCAGAGCUGCAGGGUCGCGCCCCACCCCCCACCCCCGUUGGCCAGGGAUGGAGCCAGCUUCUGGACAGUGUCCCGGCCUGAACCUGCGCUCCCGUCCCACUGGCCCCCCCACCUGGCUGGGACGACCUUUCCUUAGAACCGGUCCCCGUCCCAGGCCCGUCCGUGGCUGCGGCAGAGGAAGGCGGAGCCCAGGUGCAGAGGGGACCUGUCUGUGUUCUUACCUUGUGUUGGCGGUCCCCUCAUUGUGUCCGAUCCCACAUCAGGUGUGGCCAGUGCUGGCACAUCGGCCCGCUGGCAGCCGCCGCCUUCGUUCCCAGUCCACCUCCGCUGUCCUUCCAGAUACUGAUGGGGUCUAGGGGGCGCCUUAGUGGAGCGUUUGGUUAAGGGCCCCCCCCCCAGCAAAGCAACAGUUAUUGGGUGAAAAUCAUCAAAAUCAAUGCAAGUCUCCCGCGGGCCGAGAGCAAACGGAGAAGCCUUCUUUCCAGGAAACCUGGUGGGUCUGGGAGAAGAGGGAGGCUCGGCGCCUUUGAGCCACGGUCUGCACCAACCCGCCCGCCCCCCUCUCCAGCUUCUCUGGGCCUUUGACUCUGGGCUGGGGUGGGGGCCAGCUGCCCCCCCCCACCCCCGGCUCCCCAGCCCUGAGUCUUGGAAGCUCUGGCAAGCGAGGUUUAAGCCUGGGGUGCAAGGACCAGGACCGUUGGAAGCACGAUCCGCUCUGACACGGACGAGGCCGAAAGCGGCCACGUUUCCAACAGAGGGUGGGAGUCGCUUGCGUGUCGUAUUGGGUGGGAGAAGCCGAGGUGGCCGGGUUCUGCCGGGGCGCCGACAGCCUGUAUUUAGCUACUGGAUGGACACGCACCUCUUCCUAAGCCUUCAUUUGGCUGACGUCUGGGAAAUGUCAGCGUCCUAAUUAACUCCAGCCGGAGAAGGUGGUGCUGCCAGCCGAGUCCCUUUGAUUGAUACGGCUGCAAUUAGGGCCGCUCCCUCUCGGCGCUGUGACAGCAGAGAGGCUUGGCGAAGGGGCCUUGCGGGGGCGGCUGCAGGGCUGGGCUGCCCUCCUGCCACAGGGCGCCAUCCGCAUCCUUGCUCCCAGGAUGGUGAGCCCAGCACAGCGCGCUGGGGCUUUACCCCAGACCCCAGCCUCCCCCACCCCAAAGGAGGGAGGGUGUCACUUCUGUUAGGAGAAAGGAGUUGCACCUUAUCCUCGGAUUUUAUAGAUGCCGCUUUUUAAGAGGCUUUGAGGAUUUGAAGGCCAUUAUGGUAAAUCCAAUUGAUUUUGUCUCAUACUCACAAAAUAUAUCGACGGGAGCACCCUUAUUUCUAGUUACCUUAAAAAUAAACUGGUAUGGAGUUCCCGUCGUGGCGCAGUGGUUAACCAAUCCGACUAGGAACCAUGAGGUUGUGGCUUUGAUCCCUGGCUUCGAUCAGUGGGUUAAGGAUCUGGCGUUGCCGUGAGUUGUGGUGUAGGUUGCAGACGCAGCUCGGAUCCUUCGUUGCUGUGGCUCUGGCGUAGGCCGGUGGCUACAGCUCUGAUGAGACCCCUAGCCUGGGAACCUCCAUAUGCCGUGGGAGCAGCCCUAGAAAAGGCAAAAAGACAAAAAACAAAAAACAAAAAAACCUGGUAACUUCUAUGUCUAAAAUCUCCUGAUUAAAAUGACAGGAAUUGGAGUUCCUGUGGUGGCUCAGGGGGUUAAGGACCCAAUAGAGUGUCUGUGAGGAUGCAGGUUCCAUCCCUGGCCUCGUUCAGUGGGUUAAGGAUCCACUUGGCUGUGGUGUAGGUUGCAGAUGCAGCUCAGAGCUGGCGUUGCUGUGGCUGUGGUGUAGGCCAGCAGCUGCAACUCUGAUUCGACUCCUAACCUGGAACUUCCAUAUGCCACGGGUGCGGCCCUAAAAAGAAAAAAAAAAUGUUGGAGUUCCCGUCAUGGAAACGAAUCCGACUAGGAACCAUGAGGUUUCGGGUUCAAUCCCCAGCCUCGCUAGUGGGUUAAGGAUCCGGCAUUGCCAUGAGCUGUGGUGUAGGUUGCAGAUGCGGCUCGGACCUGGUGUUGCUGUGGCUGUGGUGUAGGCUAGUGGCUACAGCUCUGAUUAGACCCCCUAGCCUGGGAACCUCCAUAUGCUGCAGAUGUGGCCCUAAAAAGACAAAAGACAAAAAAAAAAAAA